CCUACGGGCGGCAGCAGUGAGGAAUAUUGGUCAAUGGACGAGAGUCUGAACCAGCCAAGUCGCGUGAAGGAUGACUGCCCUAUGGGUUGUAAACCUCUUUUAUAUGGGAAUAAAGUGUUCCACGUGUGGGAGUUGGACUGUACCAUAUGAAUAAGGAUCGGCUAACUCCGUGCCAGCAGCCGCGGUAAUACGGAGGAUGCGGGCGUUAUCCGGAUUUAUUGGGUUUAAAGGGUGCGUAGGUGGAUUGUUAAGUCAGGUGUGAAAGUUUGCGGCUCAACCUGAAAAUUGCAGUUGAAACUGGCAGUCUUGAGUACAGUAGAGGUGAGCGGAAGUCGUGGUGUAGCGGUGAAAUGCUUAGAUAUCACGAAGAACUCCGAUUGCGAAGGCAGUUCACUGGACCGCAACUGACGCUGAGGCACGAAAGCGUGGGUAUCAAACAGGAUUAGAUACCCCAGUAGUC
rnacentral:rRNA from 1 species